AUUGAACGCUGGCGGCAGGCCUAACACAUGCAAGUCGAACGCACCGCAAGGUGAGUGGCGCACGGGUGAGUAACACGUGGGAAUGUACCCUUUGGUUCGGAAUAACGUUUGGAAACGAACGCUAAUACCGGAUGAGCCCUGUGGGGGAAAGAUUUAUCGCCAAAGGAGCAGCCCGCGUCUGAUUAGCUAGUUGGUGGGGUAAAGGCCUACCAAGGCGACGAUCAGUAGCUGGUCUGAGAGGAUGAUCAGCCACACUGGGACUGAGACACGGCCCAGACCCCUACGGGAGGCAGCAGUGGGGGAAUAUUGGACAAUGGGCGGAAGCCUGAUCCAGCCAUGCCGCGUGAGUGAUGAAGGCCUCGGUUGUAAGCUCUUUUGUCCAGGGAAGAUGAUGACUGUACCUGGAGAAUAAGCCCGGCUAACUUCGUGCCAGCAGCCGCGGUAAU
rnacentral:rRNA from 1 species